GUCCAUUGCAUAAUAAAACAAACAACCCCCGGAAAUUCAAGAAAACACAAGCUGACCAUAAGUUUGUCAUUGGUAUAUAUUUAUACCUUUUAUUGAGGUAAAUUAUCACCUUCAUGAUAUUUUUUAACGCAGGAAAUUUUUACAAGAGCUUCUGACACUGUGGCCUUAAUGACACUUGUUCUUAGCAGUUUUGUAAGUUUUUAUUUUAAUUUAAAUUUAAAUGUGCCGCUAAUACUAAACGAAAAACCAUUAAAUACCAAAUCUGAACCAGUUCCGAUUGUUACGCACUAGAGGUCCAUUACUGCCACCUCUGUUAAGUUUUCCCACCUCUAACUAAGCUUUUCAUCUCUAAGCCAAGCCGGGCUUGCCGGAGUGGAUAAAACACGUGCAUUUUUUUCAGGUUAGUUGAAAUGCCGGCGAAUCAACGAGUAGCAUACACGUUCCAAAGUAAGUUUGGGACUCAACAAGGCGAUGGUGCCCCAGCGUGAAACUUUUGGAGAGACGCGUCCUAGUUUCUUCGCCCUACAACCCUACAAGCCGAAAGGAAGAAUAACAAUGCAGAUGUCAAAUGUGUUGCCGGGGUUUUUGGCCAUGAUUCUAUAAUUUCUUUUCAAAUUCCAUCGGUGAUAUGGCGGCCCGCCUGCGAAGGUCUUCCAAAUCUUCACCGGGAACAACACUGCUCCUGUGUCGAGAGACUACCUGUGUCGAGGAAAACUUUUGCCAUCUCAAAGGGGCCCAUUUCUACAAUGUCUGGAUUAAAUUGGUAAAAAAUGGAUUUGACGUCGGCUAUUCAACGAGCAGAAGUUCCAAAGUCAAGUUGAGAGGCUGCAAAGUGAUGUUCCGCCAGACGAAGGCCUUUGAGAGAUGACGGCUUUGGCAUUUGAUAACGAGUUGUUGACAUUACAAACACUCCUCCGCAUAUCGAAUACGAAGAUGGGCGAGUGCUACUCCUUAACUUCCCGUAUCCCAGCACAUGAAUUUGUUAGAUGUCGGACGAGUUUAAACUUGCCGAAGUUUAGAUCCAACCACAAUUUUGAUUUCUAUGGUUUCCCGCAGCUAAGUUCUAAACUCAGGUUGAGCUUCAAAAAGAGAUGGCACAGCAAAUGGACACCUUUAAAGGGCAUUUGAUAACGUCUUCUUAAAAUUAUUAAUACUCUUCCGCAUGAAGAAUACGAAUAUGUGCGGCCGCAUCACUCGCACCUUCAAAGAAUUAUUUCCUUUAUCUACUCGAGAUUGUCUUGAAGCGGUUUCGACCAAUAGUUACAAGUUUUAAAGCAUCAAUAAAGAAAUCCUGACGUCGGCUUUCGGUAGAAGUGUCGGAGGAUAUCAUCCCAUACCGGUGACCUGCAGGAUAUCAUCUCAUACCUGUAACCUAUAGGAAAUCAUCCCAUACCGGUGACCUGGAGGAUAUCAUCCCAUACCGGUGACCUGGAGGAUAUCAUCCAAUACCGGUGACCUGGAGGAUAUCACCCCAUACCGGUGUCCUGGAGGAUAUCAUCCCAUACCGGUGACCUGGGGGAUAUCAUCCCAUACCGGUGACCUGGUGGAUAUCAUCCCACACCGGUGACCUGGAGGAUAUCAUCCCAUACCGGUGACCUGGAGGAUAUCAUCCAAUACCGGUGACCUGGAGGAUAUCAUCCCAUACCGGUGACCUGGAGGAUAUCAUCCUAUACCGGUGUCCUGGAGGAUGUCAUCCCAUACCGGUGACCUGGGGGAUAUCAUCCCAUACCGGUGACCUGGAGGAUAUCAUCCCAUACCGGUGACCUGCAGGAUAUCAUCUCAUACCUGUAACCUAUAGGAAAUCAUCCCAUACCGGUGACCUGGAGGAUAUCAUCCCAUACCGGUGACCUGGAGGAUAUCAUCCAAUACCGGUGACCUGGAGGAUAUCACCCCAUACCGGUGACCUGGAGGAUAUCAUCCCAUACCGGUGUCCUGGAAGAUAUCAUCCCAUACCGGUGACCUAGAGGAUAUCAUCCCAUACCGGUGACCUGGAGGAUAUCAUCCCAUACCGGUGACCUAGAGGAUAUCAUCCAAUACCGGUGACCUGGAGGAUAUCAUCCAAUACCGGUGACCUGGAGGAUAUCAUCCCAUACCGGUGACCUGGAGGAUAUCAUCCAAUACCGGUGACCUGGAGGAUAUCAUCCAAUACCGGUGACCUGGAGGAUAUCAUCCCAUACCGGUGACCUAGAGGAUAUCAUCCCAUACCGGUGACCUGGAGGAUAUCAUCCCAUACCGGUGACCUGGAGGAUAUCAUCCAAUACCGGUGACCUGGAGGAUAUCAUCCCAUACCGGUGACCUGGAGGAUAUCAUCCAAUACCGGUGACCUGGAGGAUAUCAUCCCAUACCGGUGACCUGGAGGAUAUCAUCCCAUACCGGUGACCUGGAGGAUAUCAUCCUAUACCGGUGACCUGGAGGAUAUCAUCCCAUACCGGUGACCUGGAGGAUAUCAUGCCAUACCGGUGACCUGGAGGAUAUCAUCCCAUACCGGUGACCUGGAGGAUAUCAUCCCAUACCGGUGACCUGGAGGAUAUCAUCCAAUACCGGUGACCUGGAGGAUAUCAUCCCAUACCGGUGACCUAGAGGAUAUCAUCCCAUACCAGUGACCUGGAGGAUAUCAUCCCAUACCGGUGACCUGGAGAAUAUCAUCCCAUACCGGUGACCUGGAGGAUAUCAUCCCAUACCGGUGACCUGGAGGAUAUCAUCCCAUACCGGUGACCUGGAGGAUAUCAUCCAAUACCGGUGACCUGGAGGAUAUCAUCCAAUACCGGUGACCUGGAGGAUAUCAUCCCAUACCGGUGACCUAGAGGAUAUCAUCCCAUACCGGUGACCUGGUGGAUAUCAUCCCACACCGGUGACCUGGAGGAUAUCAUCCAAUACCGGUGACCUGGAGGAUAUCAUCCCAUACCGGUGACCUGGAGGAUAUCAUCCCAUACCGGUGACCUGGAGGAUAUCAUCCAAUACCGGUGACCUGGAGGAUAUCAUCCCAUACCGGUGACCUAGAGGAUAUCAUCCCAUACCGGUGACCUGGAGGAUAUCAUCCCAUACCGGUGACCUGGAGGAUAUCAUCCAAUACCGGUGACCUGGAGGAUAUCAUCCAAUACCGGUGACCUGGAGGAUAUCAUCCCAUACCGGUGACCUAGAGGAUAUCAUCCCAUACCGGUGACCUGGAGGAUAUCAUCCCAUACCGGUGACCUGGAGGAUAUCAUCCAAUACCGGUGACCUGGAGGAUAUCAUCCCAUACCGGUGACCUGGAGGAUAUCAUCCUAUACCGGUGACCUGGAGGAUAUCAUCCCAUACCGGUGACCUGGAGGAUAUCAUGCCAUACCGGUGACCUGGAGGAUAUCAUCCCAUACCGGUGACCUGGAGGAUAUCAUCCCAUACCGGUGACCUGGAGGAUAUCAUCCAAUACCGGUGACCUGGAGGAUAUCAUCCCAUACCGGUGACCUAGAGGAUAUCAUCCCAUACCAGUGACCUGGAGGAUAUCAUCCCAUACCGGUGACCUGGAGAAUAUCAUCCCAUACCGGUGACCUGGAGGAUAUCAUCCCAUACCGGUGACCUGGAGGAUAUCAUCCCAUACCGGUGACCUGGAGGAUAUCAUCCAAUACCGGUGACCUGGAGGAUAUCAUCCAAUACCGGUGACCUGGAGGAUAUCAUCCCAUACCGGUGACCUAGAGGAUAUCAUCCCAUACCGGUGACCUGGAGGAUAUCAUCCCAUACCGGUGACCUGGAGGAUAUCAUCCAAUACCGGUGACCUGGAGGAUAUCAUCCCAUACCGGUGACCUGGAGGAUAUCAUGCCAUACCGGUGACCUGGAGGAUAUCAUCCCAUACCGGUGACCUGGAGGAUAUCAUCCUAUACCGGUGACCUGGAGGAUAUCAUCCCAUACCUGGAGGAUAUCAUCCCAUACGGUGACCUGGAGGAUAUCAUCCCAUACCGGUGAAUACCUGGACCUGGAGAAUAUCAUCCCAUACCGGUGACCUGGAGGAUAUCAUCCCAUACCGGUGACCUGGAGGAUCAUCCCAUACCGGUGACCUGGAUGAUACUAAUAAUACCAUAGUACAAGACAACUGACGAUCCAUGCGGCCGACGAACCUAGAGAAUCACCCAGUUAGAAGAAUGUUAGCCGAAUGGUUCACCAAACCAGUUACUUAUGAUUAUUAUUCUUUAUUUUUUUUCUACCCGUAAAAGCGGUCAGCUAUAGGCAGGUGGAUGUAGAAUGCCACAUUUUAGGUGUUUUAAGUUUAUUAGUGUGGCCAUACUGGUCAAAAGUUUUUGUUUUGAAUUUUUUUUUAAAUAAAAUUUUCAACUGA